AUACGGAGGGGGUUAGCGUUGUUCGGAAUUACUGGGCGUAAAGCGUACGUAGGCGGAUCAGAAAGUAAGGGGUGAAAUCCCAGGGAUCAACCCUGGAACUGCCUCUUAAACUCCUGGUCUUGAGUUCGAGAGAGGUGAGUGGAAUUCCAAGUGUAGAGGUGAAAUUCGUAGAUAUUUGGAGGAACACCAGUGGCGAAGGCGGCUCACUGGCUCGAUACUGACGCUGAGGUACGAAAGUGUGGGGAGCAAACAGGAUUAGAUACCCUUGUAGUCC
rnacentral:rRNA from 1 species